GCCAGCCUCCUGUCAUCCAGUAGGCAGAUCGGGGGCUCCCUGCACCCUUGGGAGGGCUGUGGGGGCUGUGCUGGAGUCCUCCCCCGGGUGCGGGACCCCGAUCUGCCUGCCAGAUGACAGACCAGCACUGG
rnacentral:pre_miRNA from 1 species